UAAGCCCAGAAAGAACAUGGUAUUAAAUAAGUUUUAGUGGGAUUUCUUUACAAAGAGAGAGGUAAAUGCACAGUGCAAUCUACUAUGCAGGUUCAGAUGGCUAAUACAUAUGUAGUGUUCAUAUAUACAUGUGUAUUUAUACAAAUACUAUAUAUUUUAAGGAGAUAAGCAUUACAAAGGAAAAUAAUUAUGGGGUGCCACAAUUGUAGACUCAGCUAGACUUACAGAGAUUUCCUGUUCUAAAAUUUCCUGUGUUCCAUAGCCCUUCCAUGUAAUUUUCAAUGUUUUGAGUGCCCAUUGGCAAUACAGACUAAACACUAAAACAACCUAGAAUGAUAUUCAAGUG
rnacentral:lncRNA from 10 species